CCGAGAGAAGAAGACAGCUGCCAAAGGAGGCGACGUCCUAAUAGAAGAAGAAAAUGUCAGAGAAGAGUGGAGGACCAAAGACCAUGGGGAUUUCAAGAUGAGUUUCAGAACGGUAACCAUGGGGAUUUCUCGAUGUCCGGUGAAGUGAAGGACCAGAGAUUGGUUGGGUGUGAGGACCAGAGAGUUGGUCGGCGAGUUGGCAGGGGCGACAAGGAUGGUGGGGUUCGAUGACUGUUCUGGCGGUGGGUUGGCUGACAGAGGCGAACCAUAUGUUGUUGCCGACGAUGAUGAUGACGGUGAAGUGAUUGGAUUGAGCAAGAAGAAACCCGGCCAGACCCGGACCCAUCCAUCGUUUAACGGCGUGCCCACACCUCACAAGAUCCACAACGUCGUCGAACACCAGCAGCCGCUGCUACAACCGAUUUAGGGCCUCUCUAAGCAUAAAUCCAGUCAUCGUCCCAUCAAAGGUAAGGAUAGCAGUUGACGUCAGCAUCUUAUCCUUUUUUGAGCAAAAUCCUCAAUCCUCGUGCAUCAAAGACAGACUCUCGUCGUCAUCGGUGGCACGUACAAUUGCUGGAGACAAAUGAUAGAGAUGGAUCUUGAACAAAACAAUGGAUGUGGCGAUUGUAGAAGUCGUGAAUUGUGAUCAUCGGUCAUCCCCAUGGUCGUGAUCUCCUCUUUCAUCUCUUUCGUCUCUCCAUUCCUUCUCUUUGAGCAAACCAUCAAAAGAUUUGAGAGAGAGAAUGAAAAAAUUGAAAUCUUCUAAUUCAUUUGUUUACUGAUUUUCUAAAGAGCUUCUCUCUGGGAGAGGAUUUUGAGAGAAACCCGGUUGUUUUCUGGUCAUUAUUUUGCUUCUUUCAGUCUCAAGGCUUCUGUUUACGGCAUUGUAUUAUUGAUAAAGGGAAAACACAUUGGUUUCUUGGACUUUUCCUUCAUUUUCCUUCACUUUCUCUCCUUUUAACUCCUGUGUUCAUCUGGUUUUUUUUUUUCUUUUUCUUUCAAUCCAAUGAGUCUUCAACACAUCAAGAACUUGAAGAUUCCAAGCUCAAAGAACUUGUUACCUAGUUUGGUCCUCUUUUAAUCAUGUACUCUCCGGUAUUGAUUUGUGAGAGGACUGGUGAUGAAUCCGUCAUAGGAGAAGUGCAUAAGAAAGAGAGGAAACGAGUGGAGGGUAAAAAGGUCUAACAAUUUUUAAGAAUAAUAAUGUAUUUGAAAUAAUAGAGGGUAAUUUAGGUAUUUUAUUUUACAAUUUUAAAAAGAGGGGAUGUGAGAGUUAAUUAAAUCAAACCUUAAGGAGUGUAUUAGCAACUUUUGCUUAGGUUUAAUAUGUGAGCAAUAAAUUGAAACUCAGAGGAUGUGAGAGCACUUAACCCAAAAAAAAAAAAAAAAAAAUAGUGGACCCCACUAACAUGCUAAGGAUAUCUAAGUUUACCUUUGGUGAGACAACAUUUACUUUCUUGAUAUCACUAGUGAAUAUAUUUUGUUAACAACCCAUCAAUUCUAAGAGUUUAAGGGAAAGGAUGUAAUUUUAAUAUUUAAAUCCAUCGAGACCUUCCCUAAUGUAUGUUGCAUUAUUUUGGCCCAACAUGUUUCAAUUUUAAUUGUUAAGGAAAGAGGUGAGGUCUGAUACUAAUUUUAAUUAUUGGGGAAAUGGGUGAGAUUUGAUACCAUGUGGUCCAUGUUAACAACCAUAGGAAAGGAUAUUUAGUUAAGAAAAAAAUUAUACCUUCCACAUUGAAAUAAAAAAAAAAAAAGAAAAAAAAGUGAGAUUUUAAGUAAGUAUUUACAUUUUACAGAGAAAACAAAUGAUAGAGAAAAAAAUCAUAAACGGAUAAGAGAAAUUUUACAAUAAGAAAGAAAAGUGAUAAAGAAAAAAAUCAAAUAAUAAAAAGGCUAAAAAAAAAAAAAAAAAAACAAGAGAACUAAAAAUAUUUGGAUUAAAAUAAAAAGGUAAAAG